UACGUAGGUGGCAAGCGUUGUCCGGAAUUAUUGGGCGUAAAGAGCUCGUAGGCGGUCCGUCGCGUCGAAUGUGAAAACCCGGGGCUCAACCCCGGGCUUGCAUUCGAUAUCGGGCGGACUAGAGUUCGGUAGGGGAGACUGGAAUUCCUGGUGUAGCGGUGAAAUGCGCAGAUAUCAGGAGGAACACCGGUGGCGAAGGCGGGUCUCUGGGCCGAUACUGACGCUGAGGAGCGAAAGCGUGGGGAGCGAACAGG
rnacentral:rRNA from 1 species